UCACCGGGGGUGCAGAAUCUGCUGAGACGGGUCAGGAACCCGAACCCUUAAUACUUGAACCGGAUAAUGCCGGCGGAAGGAGGAAAAAU
rnacentral:ncRNA from 1 species